rnacentral:rRNA from 1 species
ACACAUGCAAGUCGAACGAAGCUUGAUUUCUGAUUUUUUCGGAAUGACGAAUGAUAUGACUGAGUGGCGGACGGGUGAGUAACGCGUGAGCAACCUGCCCUUCGGAACGGGAUAGUGUCUGGAAACGGACAGUAAUACCGUAUAACAUAUAUUGAUCGCAUGGUUGAUAUAUCAAAACUGAGGUGCCGAAGGAUGGGCUCGCGUCUGAUUAGAUAGUUGGUGGGGUAACGGCCUACCAAGUCGACGAUCAGUAGCCGGACUGAGAGGUUGAACGGCCACAUUGGGACUGAGACACGGCCCAGACUCCUACGGGAGGCAGCAGUGGGGAAUAUUGCACAAUGGGGGAAACCCUGAUGCAGCAACGCCGCGUGAAGGAAGACGGUUUUCGGAUUGUAAACUUCUGUUCUUAGUGAAGAAUAAUGACGGUAGCUAAGGAGCAAGCCACGGCUAACUACGUGCCAGCAGCCGCGGUAAUACGUAGGUGGCAAGCGUUGUCCGGAAUUACUGGGUGUAAAGGGAGCGUAGGCGGGAUGCCAAGUCAGCUGUGAAAACUAUGGGCUUAACUUGUAGACUGCAGUUGAAACUGGUAUUCUUGAGUGAAGUAGAGGUUGGCGGAAUUCCGAGUGUAGCGGUGAAAUGCGUAGAUAUUCGGAGGAACACCGGUGGCGAAGGCGGCCAACUGGGCUUUAACUGACGCUGAGGCUCGAAAGUGUGGGGAGCAAACAGGAUUAGAUACCCUGGUAGUCCACACUGUAAACGAUGAUAACUAGGUGUGGGGGGUCUGACCCCUUCCGUGCCGCAGCUAACGCAA